GGGGUCCUUCAGUUUGAAGCAGGCAUCGGAUGAUGGCCUGGAAGCGACAGCUAAUUCUUUUUGGUGGCUUCCAUGAAAGUGCAAGGGACUACAUCUUCUACAGUGAUGUGUACACCUUCAGCCUGGACACCUUCCAGUGGAGCAAGCUGUCCCCAUCAGGCCCCGGGCCCAUGUCCAGAUCAGGCUGCCUGAUAGCUGUCACUCCCCAGGGCAGCAUAGCCAGCUAUGGAGGUUACUCAAAGCAGAGAGUCAAGAAAGAUGUGGACAAAGGCACCCAGCACUCAGACAUGUUCCUGCUGAAGCCCGAGGAAGGGGGAGAAGGCAAAUGGGCUUGGACCAGGAUUAACCCUUCAGGGGACAAGCCUACUGCAAGGUCUGACUUUCUGCGGCCGUGGCUCCAAAUCAUUAGAUACUGGUUUUCAGGGGCGUGUGUGAGGAGGAAGAGGAGGAGAGCCUGGAGGGCUCCUUCUUCAGUGACCUGUAUAUCUACGAUGCUGCCAAGAGUCGCUGGUUUGCAGCACUGCUGAAGGGCCCCAAGUCGGAGAAGAAGAAAUGGAGGCGGGGCAAGGCAGAGGACCCUGAAGGCGCCACUGAACAGGAGACUGGGGGGAGCAGUGCCCCAGAGCCACUGGAGGUGUCUGAAGACGGGACAGUGGUCACCAUUAAGCAAAUGCUUACUCUCUCGGGGUUGGAGGUGCAGCCUCCACCUAAGGCUAAUGACAGUGCCUCAGAGGCUAGCAGCACUGGGCAGGAGCCAUGUCCUUGUUCCAACGCCAUGCUGGCUGUCAAGCAUGGACUGCUCUAUGUCUACGGUGGCAUGUUUGAAGCUGGUAACCUCCAGGUGACCCUUAGUGACCUCUACUGCCUUGACCUUCACAAGAUGGAAGAGUGGAAAAUCUUGGUGGAGAUGGAUCCAAAAUCCCAGGAGUGGCUGGAGGAGUCGGACUCUGAAGAGGACAGCAGCUCAGAUGAAGAGAGUGCAGACAGAGAGGAUACAGACAGAGAGGAUAAAGACCAGGAGGACGACAGUGCUGAGGAGGGAGCAGAUCCGCAGCACCCAGAGGUGGCACGUGGGGAGAAAUAUGAAGAGUACCUGUCCCGGACUGAACAGCGCUGGCUGAAACUUGCCCGGAACCACGUGGGGCCUGAAGCAAAGGAGAAGAAAGUGUUGAAAGUAGCCCAGGCCAUGGCAAAAUCAUGCUUUGAUGAUGCAGUUCAAGACAUUGCACAGGCCAGACAUUAGACUGCGUGAUGGUUUCACCAUCACUGGUGUCGAGCCAGGAGUGAGGAGACCCUGCAGAGUGCUCUUCUGUGAGCCUCGGGUGCCCACAGUCUGACGGGGGUUGGCCUGCCUUCACAGUGGCUUCUGUCCUCACGGAGCGAGGGUUAGAGUGGGAUGUGAAUUUGAGGCCCAUAGGCUGUGUGCUUCUGUCCUAAUAAAACUGGGCUGUGUGCUCUAAAAUA